rnacentral:rRNA from 1 species
AGAACGAACGCUGGCGGCAUGCCUAACACAUGCAAGUCGAACGUGAUCCAGGCUUCGGCCUGGUGAAAGUGGCAGACGGGUGAGUAACGCGUGGGAACCUGCCCUGUGGUAGGGAAUAACCGUGGGAAACUGCGGCUAAUACCCUAUGAGUCCUUCGGGAGAAAGAUUUAUCGCCAUAGGAGGGGCCCGCGUCGGAUUAGGUAGUUGGUGGGGUAACGGCCUACCAAGCCUUCGAUCCGUAGCUGGUCUGAGAGGAUGAUCAGCCACACUGGGACUGAGAUACGGCCCAGACUCCUACGGGAGGCAGCAGUGGGGAAUAUUGGACAAUGGGGGCAACCCUGAUCCAGCAAUGCCGCGUGGAUGAUGAAGGCCUUCGGGUUGUAAAGUCCUUUCGGCGGGGAAGAUGAUGACGGUACCCGCAGAAGAGCCCGGCUAACUUCGCGCCAGCAGCCGC